AACACAGGUACAACAUAAUGUCUGAAUGAGGCAGAACUACACAACCAGAAACGGGGCCAACUCAUAUUAUGUGGUCGAAAAAGAGAAAGAGCUUUGUGCCCUGAGGGGGAAGAAAAAGAAGAAAGGUCCAGUGGCCAUAGCAUCCAUUCAUAGCAUCAAUUCCUGAAGGGAGGACUGUGAAAGGCCUGAGCGAAAUGUUGGGGCAGCCUUUUCUCCAUCUUUCUUUCUUUUUUCUUUCUUUUUCACAUUUUAAAUUUUUAUUGGCUUUUACAAUAGCUUUACAUUCAAAUUACAUUCAUUUAUUUAAUCAAGUUCCUUUUUCCAUCUUUCCAGGGCCUACUUAAAAUCUUGGCACUCUGAGGGGCAGGAAGAAGUCCGGGCCAGGCCGAUCUUUGUUUCGUUUCUCUCAGGUCUUUGGCGGCUGGUUUCUUUGCUGUCACUGGGUGUUAAAUGGUUUUUAAAUGUUUAUUGUACACCACCUGGGGAAAGUGGAAGCAGUUGGGAAACGGUUAACCAACAGUGGGAAAGUGUUUUUACAAUCGAAUAAAUCAAAUAACUUAACACAUUCGCUCCAGAACAGGCAAGCGAAAGCCUGAGAGAAUCUUAGGACAGCUGUCCCCGCACCCCUGCCGCCACUGUAUAUGGGCAAUUUAAGAUUUGUGUGUUUUGAGGGAGGCAAAAGGAAGCCAGCCCUUGAGAUCAUAAUGUUUGUUUGUUUGUUUGUUGUUUGUUUGAUGAAAGGUCCAGUGGCCUGCAGCAUUCAUAUAGCAUCUAUUCCUGAAGGGACAGUGAAAGGCCUGAGGGAACGGUUAUGGCCACCCUUUCGCCAUCUUCCCAGGGUCUGCUUAAAGUGGUUGCACCCCUGAGGGGCAGGAAGAAGAAGAAGAGGAGGAGGAGGAGGAGGAGAGACCAGGCCGGCACUAGAUACUAGAGGAUAUGUGACCUUACCCAACAAGACCGUGAUAUAAGCUCCCCUCAAUUGAUCCACUAAACUUUGAGACUCCUCUUGCCGUGCAUCUGAGUUACUUCCGGCUUUCUUUUUCCUCUUAAAGAAUCCACUAAAUCGUGCAGCUCUUAUUAUUCUCCAAGGAAAUCAGUGUAUAAUUUUAAUUGUGUUGGCAGUGAUGGGCUGUACCUGCCUCUGCGUGG